rnacentral:rRNA from 1 species
UACGUAGGGACCAAGCGUUGUUCGGAUUUACUGGGCGUAAAGGGCGCGUAGGCGGCAUGACAAGUCACUUGUGAAAUCUCCGGGCUUAACUCGGAACGGCCAAGUGAUACUGUCACGCUAGAGUGCAGAAGGGGCAAUCGGAAUUCUUGGUGUAGCGGUGAAAUGCGUAGAUAUCAAGAGGAACACCUGAGGUGAAGACGGGUUGCUGGGCUGACACUGACGCUGAGGCGCGAAAGCCAGGGGAGCAAACGGG